CUUGGAUCCUGGAAGCCCGAAGUGGAUGGAAGGAGCAUAGAAAGGCCCUGUGGCCUGGGCCUACCGGAAGCAAGGCAUGUGGAGAGCAGUCAGGUCUGGGCCAGUGCUGAGCUCCGGCAGGCUGACCAUGCAUGACCUUCCACCUGGGGCCUCGCCUCUCCCACAGGACCUACCCCUGAAACAUCUAGCUACUCCUCCUGGAUUACUGCAGAAGUAAUCCACAGCCAUAGCGGAGAUGCAUUCCCCACUCAUCACCCUGAAGCUAAAGAUGGCUUCAUGCCUGUUGCAUUUUUACAACCUCAGGCAGGAAGGAUGACAGGCCUGGCCCUGCCGUCCACACAGAAGGAGGCUGAAGGCCAGGACAGUGGCUGAGGCAUCGCUCACCUCCCAGUGUCCCCUGCCGUCCACACCCAUGGCUCAGGCCCCGGUUCUGUGUCCCUUUCUCCCCUCCCCAUCCUGCUCCAGAGGCUCUGUCCUUCUGUAUCACCUCCAUCCAGUCCCUGUCCCCACCCAGCCCCUGAGGCCAUCUCCUUUCUCUGCAGACCCCAGAGCCUGUGGGGCUUUCCCCGAGGACUAAAGACUCAGACUCCCCAAGCCAAAGCCAGGACCCGAGCCCCCUGCACAAACAGAGCCUGUCCCCAGCCUGGGAGCCAAAGGAGGCCCCACUGCCCAGGCCCAAGCCUCCCAUCCCUGCCAAGCCUAUGCUGCCCACUGAGGUCUGCACCAGCCCCGAGCCUCGCCUCCGCCCAGCUCCGCCCCCCAUCUACCAGGACCCGGAGGAGUCCAUUGCCUUCUAUGCCAUGGGCCGGGGCUGCCCCGCUGAGGCAUCCAGCCACGUCUACGCUGAGCUGCCCGGGCUGGAGAGUCCGGGCAGUCUGCAGCUGCGUCCUGAGAACUCAGUGCCCCAGCAGCCUCCCCUCUGCUGGAGGCACACCCUUCCCGCCAACCUUUCCAGACAAGUACUUCAGGACAGACGACAGGACUGUCCGAACUGGCUGGUUCCCAAGAGUCCCUGAAAAAUCCAUGCCCGCGACCCUCUAAGAUGGCAAGAUGUGUUCGAGGAAGCUGUGCUGGCGCUACCCCGGUUUCUCCUCCUGGACUCUAAUUUCCUCAGUCCUCUGGGCUUUUGAGUCUGGGCCCUGGUCCAGUGCUGCUGUUGUCUGAGGAGUGGUUUGGUGAGAACAGAUGUUAGAACUUGUUUGUUGAUUCUUGUCUGGCUAAUAAAUCAUCGCCAACAACCUGCCCCUCAGGGAUCUGAGUCCUCCAGCCUCUCUCUCCCUCCCCACCGCACCAC
rnacentral:lncRNA from 1 species